rnacentral:rRNA from 1 species
UACAGAGGGUGCGAGCGUUGUCCGGAAUCACUGGGCGUAAAGGGCGCGUAGGCGGCCUGGCAAGUCUGUGGUGAAAGCUCGUGGCUCAACUGCGAGUCGGCCAUAGAUACUGCGAGGCUCGAGUCGACUAGAGGCAGAUGGAAUUCCGGGUGUAGCGGUGGAAUGCGCAGAUAUCAGGAGGAACACCGGAGGUGUAGACGGGUCACUGGACGGGUACUGGACGCUGAGGCACGAAAGCGUGGGGAGCAAACAGG